ACGCUAGCGGGAGGCCUAACACAUGCAAGCCGAGCGGUAGAGAUUCUUCGGAAUCUUGAGAGCGGCGUACGGGUGCGGAACACGUGUGCAACCUGCCUUUAUCAGGGAGAUAGCCUUUCGAAAGGAAGAUUAAUAUCCCAUAAUAUUUUGAGUGGCAUCACUUAAAAUUGAAAGCUCCGGCGGAUAGAGAUGGGCACGCGCAAGAUUAGAUAGUUGGCGGGGUAACGGCCCACCAAGUCAAUGAUCUUUAGGGGGCCUGAGAGGGUGAUCCCCCACACUGGUACUGAGACACGGACCAGACUCCUACGGGAGGCAGCAGUGAGGAAUAUUGGACAAUGGGUGAGAGCCUGAUCCAGCCAUCCCGCGUGAAGGACGACGGCCCUAUGGGUUGUAAACUUCUUUUGUAUAGGGAUAAACCUACCCUCGUGAGGGUAGCUGAAGGUACUAUACGAGUAAGCACCGGCUAACUCCGUGCCAGCAGCCGCGGUAAUACGGAGGGUGCAAGCGUUAUCCGGAUUUAUUGGGUUUAAAGGGUCCGUAGGCGGACUCGUAAGUCAGUGGUGAAAUCUCAUAGCUUAACUAUGAAACUGCCAUUGAUACUGCGGGUCUUGAGUAAGGUAGAGGUAGCUGGAAUAAGUAGUGUAGCGGUGAAAUGCAUAGAUAUUACUUAGAACACCAAUUGCGAAGGCAGGUUACCAUGUCUUAACUGACGCUGAUGGACGAAAGCGUGGGGAGCGAAAC
rnacentral:rRNA from 1 species